CCUACGGGGGGCUGCAGUGGGGAAUUUUGGACAAUGGGGGCAACCCUGAUCCAGCCAUGCCGCGUGAGUGAAGAAGGCCUUCGGGUUGUAAAGCUCUUUCGGCCGGGAAGAAAUCGUGCGGGCCAAUACCCUGCAUGGAUGACGGUACCGGAAGAAGAAGCACCGGCUAACUACGUGCCAGCAGCCGCGGUAAUACGUAGGGUGCGAGCGUUCAUCGGAAUUACUGGGGGGAAGCCAUAAGACAGCGGCGAAAGCCCCGGGCUUAACCUGGGAACUGCGUUUGUGACUGUGGUGCUUGAGUGCGGCAGAGGGGGGUGGAAUUCCACGUGUAGCAGUGAAAUGCGUAGAGAUGUGGAGGAACACCGAUGGCGAAGGCAGCCCCCUGGGUCGACACUGACGCUCAUGCACGAAAGCGUGGGGAGCAAACAGGAUUAGAUACCCUUGUAGUC
rnacentral:rRNA from 1 species